GGUUGCGAUCAUACCAGCACUAAUGUACCGGAUCCCAUCAGAACUCCGUAGUUAAGCGUUACUUGGGCGAGAGUAGUACUAGGAUGGGUGACCCCCUGGGAAGACCUCGUGUUGCAACCCC
rnacentral:rRNA from 1 species